rnacentral:lncRNA from 1 species
AUCGAAUAUAUUUUUGCCUUCUACUAUUUUAGGGGCAUGCAGCGAAUGAAAGCUUUUGCACUUUCCUUUCCCCGCAUAUGAGACAACAUAUUUUGUAUUUCACUCAAGGCUCUACCAGUAAAAAGUAAUGAAAUUGUACCUUUCUAAUGACAUCUAUGCAGCAGGGGUCUUUUGCCUUGUGGAUGACACCAAAUUAUCCAAGUGUAUUAAGAGACUGGGGCUUUUUCCUUUAAUCCCUUCUUAUUAAUGAAGUGCAUCAUGCUGCUCCCAGGAGAGUGCUGCUGACAGAUAUACAGAAAAGAGAUCAGAGAGAAAAAACUGGAAGGACAUAAAUGAAUUAUACCCAGCCAGGAAACGAUGCCAGCCGCCUCUUCCCUAAGGAAAAGUACAACAAGCGCCGCCCCCCCCCAAUUGUAAGGCGGUCCCUACAUUGCAAAUGUAUAUAGUUUGUCAAAGGAGUACAAAGGGUAAAAGUUAUUUUUUAAGUUUUCAGGGCUUUCUUUAAAAUUGGGGGUCCAGAGUUUGAAAGUAUGUUUUCAUUGUAGAAGAUGGCAUUUUCUUCAAAGAGUUCUCAACUUUUAUACUGGAAGGAAUAUUUUCUGGUAUCUAAAUAGUUGCUUAAAUGUAAGAUUCUUACACUUCAUUUCUG